rnacentral:rRNA from 1 species
AUACGGAGGAUGCGAGCGUUAUCCGGAUUUAUUGGGUUUAAAGGGAGCGUAGGUGGGAUAUUAAGUCAGCUGUGAAAGUUUGGGGCUCAACCUUAAAAUUGCAGUUGAUACUGGUUUCCUUGAGUACGGUAUAGGUGGGCGGAAUUCGUGGUGUAGCGGUGAAAUGCUUAGAUAUCACGAAGAACUCCGAUCGCGAAGGCAGCUCACCGGGCCGGAACUGACACUGAUGCUCGAAAGUGCGGGUAUCAAACAGGAUUAGAUACCCUGGUAGUCCGCACAGUAAACGAUGAAUACUCGCUGUUUGCGAUACACUGUAAGCGGCCAAGCGAAAGCGUUAAGUAUUCUACCUGGGGAGUACGCCGGCAACGGUGAAACUCAAAGGAAUUGACGGGG